rnacentral:lncRNA from 1 species
CGGCGGCUGCGCGGUGGCGCGCGCGUAGGCGGAGCGGCGCGCGCCGCGGUCAGCUGACUGCUCCGGCUGGCACGUGACUUGUUUCGUGGGCUCUGGGGUCCAGGAAGCCGUGAGGCCGGAGCUUAGGUCGGGUAGGGAUGGAGCGCUGAGCCGUUAACGUCUGCCAGGCUGUACACCUCUGUACCUGUUACUGCUGCCACUUCCUCGUUUGACACUUCCCUGGGUCCUUUGAGAGAAAGUAGAUGAAAAUGCCAUUCAUUGUAUAGUUAGGGACCUAUCUAGACCCUGGACCUAGAAUGGACAUCAAGUGAUGUGUCCUAAGUCUAGCAUAACUUCCAUCAUCUUCUGAUUGCCGAUUACCUGCACAGUACUUAACCACAAUUACAUCUAGAGAGAAGGGAUUUGCUAAGCCAGAUGUGGCAAAUUUAUUUGGUGGCUACUGUUCAAAUGCAUUGAUUCAAUUCUUUUUCAAAGGUAAGAGUUAUGCAUGUUUUUUUACUUCCUAUUUUGGUUUUAUGUUUUAAAAAUUUAAGAUAAACCUAUAAAUUUGUGACU